UCUGGAUGUGAAAUGAAACACAAUGAAACUGUUUAAUGAUUCAUUGGAAGUUUUAAGAUGACAGGACAGUUUGUUGUUUGCUUCUUGUAGAUGGUAAAUAUGAGGAAUUUUCUCAGUUGUUUGGAUUUUAUCUUCUUUUAGGAGACAACGUAGCAACACCACCACCAACAACUACUAAGUUACCAACAACAACCAAAAGAACAACAAAAGCAACAACCAGACCAACAACAACAACUAAAUUACCAACAACAACCAAAACAACAACUAAAGCAACCAAAGCAACAACCAGACCAAAAACAACAACAACCAAAGCAUCAACCAAAGCAACAACCAGACCAACAACAACAACAGACCCAACAGCAGCAGAAACAAGCCUAAAUGCAGGUUGUUGGAUCAGGUUCAUCUUUGUUCUUGUGGGUGUAGCAGCACUCUCAAUGAUUGUUGUGUCAGUCAACAUUUGGACCAGAACAAAAGGUUCCAAAACACAUCGUGGCAAGAAGCAGCACAGUGAUGAAGAUGAUGAUGUGGUGACGUAUGAAAAUGCUGAAGAUGUUUCUGCUCCUGUUAGAUUCCACAGAUCAACAAAUCAGCUGUGAAAAUAUUUCUUAUCUGCAGUUAUUUCAAACACAGCAGCUGGAUUUAAACAUGAUUGAACAGGAAAUGAGAACAGAGAAAAACAGAAUCUGCUUUACUGCUGCAACAGGACUAGAAGUCUGUUUUAUCUGAUCAGUAAAGACAAUAAAACAACAAACUAUCAACACAAUUAUUGAAGUAUUUUCUUAUUUUGGUUCAAUAUUUUGCUUGUCUUGUGUUAUUUUUUUUAUCACCAAUAGAACUCACUGCAAUUUACUUUGAUGUGGUUUUUAUUGUUGCU